rnacentral:lncRNA from 1 species
AAUGUAGAACCCUCAGCUCCUCCUACUCCAUGCCUGCUUGGAUGCUGCCAUGCUCCCUGCCUUGAUGAUACUGGACUGAACCUCCGAACCUGUAAGCCAGUCCCAAUUAAAUGUCCUAUGUAACGUUUGCUUUGGUCAUGAUGUCUCUUCACAGUAAUGGAAACCCUAAGACAAGCCACAUUCUGAAAAUGGUUUUAGGCCAGAAGAGGGCACCAGAUCUCUUGGAACUGGAGUUAAGGAUAGUUGUGA